GAUGAACGCUGGCGGCGUGCCUAAUACAUGCAAGUCGAGCGAACGGACGAGAAGCUUGCUUUUCUGAUGUUAGCGGCGGACGGGUGAGUAACACGUGGAUAACCUACCUAUAAGACUGGGAUAACUUCGGGAAACCGGAGCUAAUACCGGAUAAUAUUUUGAACCGCAUGGUUCAAAAGUGAAAGACGGUCUUGCUGUCACUUAUAGAUGGAUCCGCGCUGCAUUAGCUAGUUGGUAAGGUAACGGCUUACCAAGGCAACGAUGCAUAGCCGACCUGAGAGGGUGAUCGGCCACACUGGAACUGAGACACGGUCCAGACUCCUACGGGAGGCAGCAGUAGGGAAUCUUCCGCAAUGGGCGAAAGCCUGACGGAGCAACGCCGCGUGAGUGAUGAAGGUCUUCGGAUCGUAAAACUCUGUUAUUAGGGAAGAACAUAUGUGUAAGUAACUGUGCACAUCUUGACGGUACCUAAUCAGAAAGCCACGGCUAACUACGUGCCAGCAGCCGCGGUAAUACGUAGGUGGCAAGCGUUAUCCGGAAUUAUUGGGCGUAAAGCGCGCGUAGGCGGUUUUUUAAGUCUGAUGCGAAAGCCCACGGCUCAACCGUGGAGGGUCAUUGGAAACUGGAAAACUUGAGUGCAGAAGAGGAAAGUGGAAUUCCAUGUGUAGCGGUGAAAUGCGCAGAGAUGUGGAGGAACACCAGUGGCGAAGGCGACUUUCUGGUCUGUAACUGACGCUGAUGUGCGAAAGCGUGGGGAUCAAACAGGAUUAGAUACCCUGGUAGUCCACGCCGUAAACGAUGAGUGCUAAGUGUUAGGGGGUUUCCGCCCCUUAGUGCUGCAGCUAACGCAUUAAGCACUCCGCCUGGGGAGUACGACCGCAAGGUUGAAACUCAAAGGAAUUGACGGGGGCCCGCACAAGCGGUGGAGCAUGUGGUUUAAUUCGAAGCAACGCGAAGAACCUUACCAAAUCUUGACAUCCUUUGACAACUCUAGAGAUAGAGCCUUCCCCUUCGGGGGACAAAGUGACAGGUGGUGCAUGGUUGUCGUCAGCUCGUGUCGUGAGAUGUUGGGUUAAGUCCCGCAACGAGCGCAACCCUUAAGCUUAGUUGCCAUCAUUAAGUUGGGCACUCUAAGUUGACUGCCGGUGACAAACCGGAGGAAGGUGGGGAUGACGUCAAAUCAUCAUGCCCCUUAUGAUUUGGGCUACACACGUGCUACAAUGGACAAUACAAAGGGCAGCGAAACCGCGAGGUCAAGCAAAUCCCAUAAAGUUGUUCUCAGUUCGGAUUGUAGUCUGCAACUCGACUACAUGAAGCUGGAAUCGCUAGUAAUCGUAGAUCAGCAUGCUACGGUGAAUACGUUCCCGGGUCU
rnacentral:rRNA from 1 species